rnacentral:rRNA from 1 species
CGGAUUGUAGUCUGCAACCCGACUACAUGAAGCUGGAAUCGCUAGUAAUCGCGGAUCAGAAUGCCGCGGUGAAUACGUUCCCGGGUCUUGUACACACCGCCCGUCACACCAUGGGAGUCGGAAAUGCCCGAAGUCUGUGACCCAACCAUUAAGGAGGGAGCAGCCGAAGGCAGGUCGGAUGACUGGGGUGAAGUCGUAACAAGGUAUC